CUCUGUAAAUACGCGAUCCUACUCUGUUCACCGAACUUCCCAGCCGUCACAGAUUCAUGGCACUGACAACGCUUAUGGUGGGUAAGUUGGACGCUUUCUCGGCAAAGUUUGCGAUCCGUGUUCGAUGUCUCUGAGGGUUCGGGAUCCCUGAUUAUGUUUGUCCACUGGUUGUCCUGCUGACAGAAAAUUUUAAGUUUUUCGUUUGAUAUCUGACGUAGGCUCUCGUGCCGUGGUGUAUGCUUGGUUGGUACGCCCUUUUAAAGUUUUCACUUUUACUGUAACUUCGGUUUUUGUUUUCCAUUUUUGUUCGAAAAGAUGAAUCUUAUGUAAAAAAUGGUAUCAUGGUUAGUGACGAAGUUACGGCUGCAAAUAAAAGAGAAGUCUUUGCUUGAUUGAUACGUUAGGGUUGUUUUGCAUCUUCUACUUGGAUGUAUAUGAAGUAGAGGAACAGCUGGCAACAAGUUUCACAUGACACUGGAUCUUCCAGUGAUCUCUACAGUCAAAAGUGUUUUGGACAAUGCUGGCACAUAAUUCAUUUCUUCUGGGUUAGGGACACUGUAGUGGUCACAGUCAAGACGGGUAAAGAAGAUUAUACCAGCUUUUUUCCAUUGGUAAUUUAUUCCUAAUGUAAAUUAAAAAUUAUCUAAUAUUUCCUUUCUUCAAUGCCUUAAAUUCGGCAGUUACCAUAAUGAUAGCUUUUACAUGUGAAGGUAAAUAACAUGUUGAACAAUUUAACUUUGUUUUUAAAUUUCAUUUUUCAAGCAAAUGCCCUAAACUGGCAUUUUUUAAUACCUUAUCUCUAGGGAAAUAUCAUUAUUGAUAAAUAGGUUAUAGGUAGAAUCUGAUCAGUGUUACCUUUUAGUGUGUUUAUUUCCAUAUUUCUGAUCAUUUCACUAUAUGGAUCUAUUCAUCAAACAUUUGCCCUAGUUUAAUGCUAUCUUGCAACCUAACUCAAUCCUCCUUUUAUCCAGGCUGGGGACCGGCCUUGACAAGGUAAUUCGUCAUGGGCAGAGUUAAAACUGUAAAGUUUUUUUAUUUGUGGAACAUUGUUUGUUUUUUAAUAGUCUUCUCGACUUAAGUAAGCUUCAUAGAAAACUUUGGGUGUUUGUGGCUUGUCCUUGAAAAAUUUAACAUCCUCUUUCAGAAUGUCAUAUUCCAGUUACAGAAUUAUGAAUCAAUACAUCUGCUUACAAACUGUUGAUCAACAAAUGUUUUUUUUUAUUUGUUCGUUUGUGUAGGCUUUGAAUAUUAAAAUUGGAUUUUUAUUUUUUAUUUUGGUUUGGACUCGAUUCUUCAUGGCUGCUUAUAUUCCAAGAAGUGUAGCCUGGUAUUUUUAUGCGCCAUUCUGUUCAGAGAAGCAUAGAUUUGCCAGUGCUAAACAGCUUGAUGCUUCAUAAAGACAUUGUUUUACCAAUUCCUGAUAAAUUUUGAUGUGGAGUUAGUACUUGAUGAGAAAACUAAACCAGCGCCCUACUUUCAGGCGGGAUCCUUUGGUCCGCACUUUGCGGACCAGAGGAUGGACCAUAAAGAGUGAUUGGUUGAUUUGGAUGGACUCUACCUGAUAAAUAAGUAGGGUCCACUCAAAUCAACCAAUCAAUAUAGUGGUCCAUCCUCUAGACUGCACUUUGUGGAACAGAGGAUCUGCUCUCACUUUAUAAUGGCAUGAAUUUGUUUGGCAGUGUUAAGCCUCAUCAUAAUUUAUAAUCUCAUCGUGUUUCUGUUAAUUGGUUCCAAAUUUUCCUGUGAAGUUUUCUUUGAAGUCUAAUCUUUUGUUCUUUUCAGUUGCUUCUAUUCCGGAAGAGUGGCCUGGUAUUUCUACUGGGAUAUUCUGUAGAGAGGGGCAUAAAUUUAUUACUCAGUUUUAAACAGCAUGUUUCUUAUAAUGGCAACGUGUUACCUGUCUACUGAUAAAUUUCAUCAAAAAUUUAAUUCAUGUUAAGAUAACCUAGCAGAUACUACUGUUUCUCUGUUCCCAGGAGAUUGUUGUUGUAUGUGCUACUUGGAAAUCUAAUUUUUUGUUCUUUUCAGUUGCUUCUAUUCCGGAAGAGUGGCCUGGUAUUUCUACUGGGACAUUCUGUAGAGAGGAGCAUAAAUUUAUUACUCAGUUUUAAACAGCAUGUUGUCUUAUAAUGGCAACGUGUUACCUGUCUACUGAUAAAUUUUUAUCAAAAAUUUAAUUACAUGUUAAUAUAACCUAGCAGAUGCUGCUGUUUCUCUGUUCCCAGGAGAUUGUUGUUGUACGUGCUACUUAGAAAUCUAAUUUUUUGUUCUUUUCAGUUGCUUCUAUUCCGGAAGAGUGGCCUGGUAUUUCUACUGGGACAUUCUGUAGAGAGGAGCAUAAAUUUAUUACUCAGUUUUAAACAGCAUGUUGUCUUAUAAUGACAACGUGUUACCUGUCUACUGAUAAAUUUUCAUCAAAAAUUUAAUUACAUGUUAAGAUAACCUAGCAGAUACUGUCUCUGUUCCCAGGAGAUUGUUGUUGUAUGUGCUACUUGGAAAUCUAAUUUUUUGUUCUUUUCAGUUGCUUCUAUUCCGGAAGAGUGGCCUGGUAUUUCUGCUGGGACAUUCUGUAGAGAGGAGCAUAAAUUUAUUACUCAGUUUUAAACAGCAUGUUGUCUUGUAAUGGCAACGUGUUACCUUUCUACUGAUAAAUUUUCAUCAAAAAUUAAAUUACAUGUUAAGAUAACCUAGCAGAUACUAUUGUUUCUCUGUUCCCAACUUUAUCCUGAUUCACUUGUGGAUUUCUGUUGGAAUAUGUUGUCGAGGAAAGCAUAAAUCUGUUUGUAUCAUAUUUUCUCCUUACUAUCAUUUCUUUCACUAAUUUAUUCUGAUUCUCUUUUUAGUUGCUUCUAUCCGGAAGAGUGGCCUUCUCUGUCAUGUGGUCAUUCUGUAGAUGGAAGCAUGGAUUUAUCUGUCAGUAUUAAACAGCAUUGUGCUCCACAAUGGCAUUGUGUUACCUGUCUCCUGAUAAAUUUUCAUCUGAACUGUGUUCCAUAAGCAAAUUUUUAUCGUCAAAUCACAACAGAUAGCUGGGUUUUUGAAUUUGCAGUCAGGUUGAAGAUGAACUUAGAUUGUGGUUGCUUUCACAGACUUGAUAUCAGCCAAGGUCAAAGUUCUAAACCGUUCUUAUUUCUUCAAUGUGAUCUUUUCUUGUCUUUCCUCUAGGUGGAUCAUACUCUGCGAUUCGCAUCGUUCGUCCCGGAAUAUAUAUUGGAUCAUCUUCGAUCGGCUUUAGUCCAAAGGAUACGUGAUUAUAUGUUUAUUGUUACCCUUACAAAAACUACGUAAAUGAUGUAUGUCUGUUGAUAGUUGUACUGUAUCAGACAAAAUUUAAUGUUUCUUGUGAAUCAAUGACUGACUUAAUUCUUAA